AUGUAAUAAAUUUCUCUUAUAAGCUAAAAGGAAGUGGCCAAUGGGAAAAAAGGCAGUGGCAACCUAUUUUUUUUUUUUAAUUUAUUGCCUUUAAAAAACGUAUUAUUUUCAAAAUAGUCACUUUUUUUUUUUUUUUUGGUCUUUUUAGGGCCACAUCCACAGCAUGUGAAAGUUCCUAGGCUAGGGGUUGUAUCAGAGCUACAGCUGCUGGCCUACCCCACAGUCACAGCAAUGGAAGAUCCGAGCCACGUCCAUGACCUACACCACAGCUCAUGGCAACUCCAGAUUCUUUAACCCACGUCCUCAUGGAUACUAUUUGGGUUUGUUACUGCUGAGCCACAAUGGGAACUCCAAAAUAGUCACUUCUUUAGCUAAAAAAUAAUAUAGUUUAUGAUACACAUAAUUACAUGCUGCUAAAUUUGGCACUGUGUAUGAGGGUAUGUAUGUAAGUUGUGUUAUAUAUGAAGCCUUCAGAUAAUGCUCCAAAGAGACAGUUAAGUCUCACACCACUGUUACUCUGCUUCUUGGAUUUUGACAAAGGUGACCAAAGUUCCAGUCUCAGAAUAAUGAUGUACCGUAAAAGCCCCUACCACAGUUGGCCAUGAGAUGCGUAUUGGUUCUACCCUCUAGAUCACUUACAAAGGAGGCCCCAUCUCUUUUAAAAGUUUGCAUUCCUGGUUUGCAUUGAAAAGGUAGCAUUUCAUAAUCUUGAAUACUCCCCAAAUUUGGAACUCUGAUUUUGUUCAGACCAUAUUUGAAUGCAUCUAUGAAAUUACUUCAGUUUUCUUAAAGUAAUAAUUAUAGAUACUCAGAUUAAAAUGGGAUAUGCAACUUAUUUUCCAGAGGAGGGAAAAUGGCAUCAUUAAAAUACAAUGAUUUGAAAAACAAAAUAUGCUCAACUUGGUUGUUGAGUAGUUUUGAUUUACUAGUCAGUGUAAUUUAUUUUACAGAUUUCAUGGAAAAUAAAAAUGCAAACUUGAGUUUUUUUCAGGUAUAUUUUAAAUUUUUAGCUUCUGAUUCCACCCCCCUACUCUGCGACCAAAUUUAAAGAGGUGGACCUAUACUUUCUAAUACUGUUAUUCUACUGUCUCCAUUAAAAUAUUGUAAUUAGUUUCUUCAACGCUGUCAAAGUACCCAAAUGGCACAAGUAUUCUAAAGUGCAUUAUUGGAUCUUAAGGCUAUAUUUAUAAUAGGUAUUAACACAAAACAAUAAAGCUGACCACAGGAAAGAUUACUUUUAAUAGUUGGGAUAGAUUUCAAUAGUUGGGAUAGAUAAAUAUGAGAGGCUAAGCAUACAAUCCAAUGGGAAGACUCACAGGAAGGCAUAUGCAUAGCUUGCUUACAAAAUUCAAAUAUAAAAUGGCAUUUGGCAUGAAUCUUUAAAUUUUGGUACUUAAUGAAGUAUGCCAAUUAAUAAUAUAUAGGCC
rnacentral:lncRNA from 1 species